GACGAACGCUGGCGGCGUGCUUAACACAUGCAAGUCGAACGGUGAAGGUGGAGCUUGCUCCGCCGGAUCAGUGGCGAACGGGUGAGUAACACGUGGGCAACCUGCCCCUCACUUCGGGAUAACUCCGGGAAACCGGGGCUAAUACCGGAUACGACCUCCUUGGGCAUCCUUGGAGGUGGAAAGUUUUUCGGUGAGGGAUGGGCCCGCGGCCUAUCAGCUUGUUGGUGAGGUAGUGGCUCACCAAGGCGACGACGGGUAGCCGGCCUGAGAGGGCGACCGGCCACACUGGGACUGAGACACGGCCCAGACUCCUACGGGAGGCAGCAGUGGGGAAUAUUGCACAAUGGGCGCAAGCCUGAUGCAGCAACGCCGCGUGAGGGAUGACGGCCUUCGGGUUGUAAACCUCUUUUAGUAGGGAAGAAGCGAAAGUGACGGUACCUGCAGAAAAAGCACCGGCUAACUACGUGCCAGCCGCCGCAGUAA
rnacentral:rRNA from 1 species